rnacentral:rRNA from 1 species
GACGAACGCUGGCGGCGUGCUUAACACAUGCAAGUCGAACGGAAAGGCCCCGCCGGGGUGGGGUGCGCGAGUGGCGAACGGGUGAGUAACACGUGCGUAACCUGCCCUUGGCUUUGGGACAACGUCAGGAAACUUGGGCUAAUACCUGAUAGGAGCUCCUGCGGCAGGGAGGGGGUUGGAAAGUUUCGGCGGUUGUGGCUGGACCCGCGGCUUAUCAGCUUGCUGGUGGGGUAGUGGCAGACCAAGGCAUUGGCGGGUAGCCGGCCUGGGAGGGUGACCGGCCCCAUUGGGCCUGCGAUACGGCCCAGACUCCUACGUGAGGCAGCGGUGGGGAACAUUGCACAGUGGGCCGGCGCCUGAUACAGCGACGCCGCGUUCGGGAUCACGGCCUUCGGGUUGUAAACCGCUUUCGCCUGUGACGAAGCGUGAGUGACGGUACUGGGUAAAGAAGCACCGGCUAACUACGUG